UUCUCUCUCUUCCGACUCUUGCUAUUCACGCCAUUUACACUCUCUCUAUCAUUUCGUAUUCAUCUGGCUAUCACCAUUUUCAUACCAAGACUUCACCUUUAGCUUCCCAGGAAGGAGAUUUGUUGAUCAAGAUGAUGAGGAGAUGCUAGGAUAAGCUAUUAAGAAGGCUUUAUUUGGAUUUUGCUAGCUAAGAGGUUUGGAGUAGACUUCUCAUGAGAGCGCUAGCAUGGUUGACCUAGUAUCUUUCCUUUUCCUUAUGGACAGUUUUUUUUAUGAGACUUAGUAUGACAUGAUGGAUGUAUUUCAGACUUAAUUUGGGUGUAAUGUUGACUUUGGAUGUUUAGACUUGAUGAAUUUUGAAUA